ACGAAGGGAGAGGAUGGCGUCGUCGCCUCAUGAGAGGAUGGUAGGAGCUCGUGCUCCCAGGUUGAAUCGCCCGCUCGCGCUCCGUUGUACGACCAGUUCCUAGAGACGAUGGCGCAGAGUGAUCUUGUGCGGCGAGGCUUCCCGGAGAUUUGGCGCGGAAGGGUGUGAGGUUGGCUCGGGAGCGGAAGGGGCCAGCAUCGGCACGGGAGCGGAAGGCCACGACUGCUGCGUCGAGGGACAAUGGCGUGGCAGCGGCACUGCAGAGGAAGGGCAAAUGCAGCACGGCAGCCAUGGCGGAGCUGCAGGGUGCAGGAACGGCGGAAGGUGCUGCCCCCUUUCAGCCCGCGUCCUGCUUCACUGGUGUCCCCACCUCAAUCAGCCGUUUUCCACCAGCGAUUCAACCUCAUGGAGCUUGCUGAGGCCAAGGUGGUAGUCCGAUGUCUUAUUCAUGGAUGAAUCCUCAAGCUUUGGAUCCAACGACAUGAACUUCAGACUGCAGUUAGGGUAAUGUCAGACGAAGAAAAGGCUGAUCAUGCAGUACAAUUAAGUCUUUGAAGAAGAAAUUAUUUGCUGAAUAAAUUUAAGGCUCUUGAUGGAGUUACCUAAGGAUCUUGAUAUGGCAGCUUCAGCUCGCUUUGGAUGUAAGCUGAAUUUAAUCAGCUUUAUAAAGUACAGUUCUAUUUUAGUUUAUUUGGACCUAUCUAGUUUAUUUAUACGGAUAUUCUAGGGGGUGAUACUGAGUGCUAAACUUUAGUAAGUGUCACAUCAGAUGUUCGGAUGCUAAUUAGGAGGACUAAAUAUGAGCUAAUUAUAAAA